rnacentral:rRNA from 1 species
GACGAACGCUGGCGGCGUGCCUAAAACAUGCAAGUAGAACGCUGAAGGAGGAGCUUGCUUCUCUGGAUGAGUUGCGAACGGGUGAGUAACGCGUAGGUAACCUGCCUGGUAGCGGGGGAUAACUAUUGGAAACGAUAGCUAAUACCGCAUAAGAGUAGAUGUUGCAUGACAUUUGCUUAAAAGGUGCAAUUGCAUCACUACCAGAUGGACCUGCGUUGUAUUAGCUAGUUGGUGGGGUAACGGCUCACCAAGGCGACGAUACAUAGCCGACCUGAGAGGGUGAUCGGCCACACUGGGACUGAGACACGGCCCAGACUCCUACGGGAGGCAGCAGUAGGGAAUCUUCGGCAAUAGACGGAAGUCUGACCGAGCAACGCCGCGUGAGUGAAGAAGGUUUUCGGAUCGUAAAGAUCUGUUGUAAGAGAAGAACGAGUGUGAGAGUGGAAAGUUCACACUGUGACGGUAUCUUACCAGAAAGGGACGGCUAACUACGUG